rnacentral:rRNA from 3 species
CCAACAGGGAUUGCCCUAGUAACGGCGAGUGAAGCGGCNACAGCUCAAAUUUGAAAUCUGGCUCUCGGGCCCGAGUUGUAAUUUGUAGAGGAUACUUUUGAUGCGGUGCCUUCCGAGUUCCCUGGAACGGGACGCCAUAGAGGGUGAGAGCCCCGUCUGGUUGGAUGCCAAAUCUCUGUAAAGUUCCUUCGACGAGUCGAGUAGUUUGGGAAUGCUGCUCUAAAUGGGAGAUAUAUGUCUUCUAAAGCUAAAUACCGGCCAGAGACCGAUAGCGCACAAGUAGAGUGAUCGAAAGAUGAAAAGCACUUUGAAAAGAGAGUUAAAAAGUACGUGAAAUUGUUGAAAGGGAAGCGUUUAUGACCAGACUUGGGCUUGGUUAAUCAUCUGGGGUUCUCCCCAGUGCACUUUUCCAGUCCAG